UGACAGAGUGACAGUGCUGGCUGUGAGGAUGAGGUCCACUUUGAUCUGUGUGCUGGGAUUAUUCUUGAUGAAUACACUCUGCUACGGACAAUCUGAAGAUGAUGAUGUGAUCUUGGAAAGUCCUUCAUUCA